GGGCUCUUAAUCUGAGAAGCAUCCUUUUUAGUAGAGAAUAAGCUGUCCUGCUGGUGAAUUUUGCUUUAAUUACUCUGAAACCAAGGGCUGUAUUUAGUCUCUUUCUUUCUUUGAUAGAAAGGACAGAGGUGAGAAGGGAGGAGAGGAUAGGCGGUAGCAGGUGAGAUAAUUGGGGUUACUCCUGAUCCUGUGAGCCAGAGCAUCUGUUUGGUCAUGGUCAGAGCUGCUAGGUCAAUUAAAUACACUGGCUUUGUAGGUCUGACUGAGCUCCACACCUGAGGUUGUAACCUGGUGUGUCCAGAUGGGCUUUUACUGCCUCUCCUGGGGUGGGCUUCUGGGGCUGUGCCAUGGGGGGAGUGCAGAAUCAUGGGAGGGAAAAAGCAGUGAGGAAGAAAAAAAGGUGGAAGAGCUGAAAAAGGCAGUACCAAUACGAUAUCAGGGUCUCCUGUGCUCAGAACGAAGGCCAAGAGGGAACUGGUGUGGUUAUCAUCUGCCAAGAAGAAAAUGGUGUUUUUAUCAUCUACCUAUGUACUUUAGUUGCCUUUUGAAGAGAACUGGGGAUGUCGACCAGCAGGAAUUUGGGCUGGGAAGUGGGAUACACUCACCCUGCAUCACCACCAUAGCCAAAGUAUCUCUCUUCACUGCAUGGAAACAGCACUGAUAUCACCAGCAAGGGAAGAACUUGGCAGUGUCUGCAGGGAAAUUGGCUGCCUUUAGAAUGCAAAAGUGGCAGAGCAAAGCAUCAUGUGUCCUCACAGGAGCACUAAGUGCAGCCCUGGGGCACGCCUCUCUCACUACUACCACAGCAAAUGCUCUCUCCUAUCUGGGCACCUUACUUUUGACCAGAAAGAAUUCUUCCUAUGAGAUUGUGUUAUGUCCUACUGUACCCUUUCUAGCAAGAGUAGGGCUGAUAAGACCUAGAAAGUAGCCUUGCUUCCAGUUAAUGGUUAAACAAGGUCUUAGCUGGUAUAUAUGCAAUAUACAUUGAUUUUAAACUUGAUCAAUUAUAAAAUCUGGGAUUUCUGUUGUGUUCUGUGGAAUACCUACAAAAAUAGAGAAACUGAAAUAAUAAAAAGCCACGACUUGUGAUUAUAUAGGACA
rnacentral:lncRNA from 1 species